GUGAGUCAUCGAAUCUUUGAACGCACAUUGCGCCCGCCAGCAUUCUGGCGGGCAUGCCUGUUCGAGCGUCAUUUCAACCCUCGAGCCCGACUUUUCGAAGGACGGCUCGGCGUUGGAGGACGGCAGACUCCCCCCGGCAUCUCGCCGGGGACGCCGCCUCCGAAAUUUAGUGGCGGCCCUCCGAGGCGACCUCUGCGUAGUAACUUGUUCUCGCACCGGAAAGCUCAGAGCGGCCACGCCGUAAAACCCCAACUUUUUUUAGGUUGACCUCGAAUCAGGUAGGACUACCCGCUGAACUUAAGCAUAUCAAUAAGCGGAGGA
rnacentral:misc_RNA from 1 species